rnacentral:rRNA from 1 species
GACGAACGCUGGCGGCGUGCCUAAUACAUGCAAGUCGAACGCAGUGGGGACGGGUGAGUAACACGUGGUAACCUACCCAUCAGAGGGGAUAACCCUUUGAAACAAGUGCUAAAACCGAUACUGAUGGAUGGAACCCGGGUGCAUUUACUUGGUGGUGAGGUAACGGCUCACCAAGGCCACGAUGCAGAGCCGACCGGAGAGGGUGAUCGGCCACACGGGGACUGAGAAACGGCCAAGACUCCUACGGGAGGCAGCAGUAGGGAAUCUUCGGCAAUGGACGAAAGUCUGACCGAGCAACGCCGCGUGAGUGAAGAAGGUUUUCGGAUCGUAAAGCUCUGUUGUUAGAGAAGCGGUAUCUAACCAGAAAGCCACGGCUAACUACGUGCCAGCAGCCGCGGUAAUAC